AGUUCCAUGGGGCCCCACAGCGUCCCAAUGGUCCCUUGCUUCCAUGAGGCCCUGAGGUGCCAUAAUGCCCCCUUGGUGACACAAGGCCCUGAAGGGUCCUAACGGUCUCCAUGGUUCCAUCAGGCCCCACAGAGUCACAAUGGUCUCUGGGUUCCAUGAAGCCCCGCUGUGUCACCAUGGCCCCUUGGUUCCAUGGGCUCCAGUGGUGCUAAAAUGAUCUCCUGGGUUUCAUGAGGGCCCACAGUGUCCCAGUGAUGUCCAUGGGAAGGAAAGAACCCAGCCCCAGUGUUGCAGGGGCAGUCACCAGAGGCCAAGGCCAACCAGACUUGGCGGUACUGGCAGAUUUUGCCUGGGAGCAACCCUUGGAUAUACAGAAUUUUAGAGGUGCAAUCCCAAUUUCAGACAUGGAUGCCCAGAGGAGAAGGACGAUUCUUUACCAUUGGAAGAAAAUCAUAGAACAUUGUUGUUUCAGGGGCAGAUGAAUGGCAGUCAUCAGAGGCUUAGACCAGCCAGACCUCUCUGUGUCCUGAAGGGAAAGCUCCGAGCCUGAGUGUUUCAAAGGCAGAAGAGGAAAGAGGUGGCUCCUGGGCGGCCAAGCCAUCCAGACCUGUUUGUCCUGAAGCUUUUGUCAUGGCAGAAUGCUUGGAUAUAUUCAAUUUGGGAGGAGGAAUCUCAAUUUUGACCACAGACACUUUGAGAAGAAGAACAGUUCUUUUCCAUUGGAAGGAAAGCACAGAGCCCCAGUGUUUGGAAAGCAGGAAAGAAAGUGUGAAUUCCAAGUGUUCUGGAAGAAGAUGAGAGGUGGCCACCCUCAGGCCAAACCAGCCAGACCUGUCUCUUUUGGCACCUUUUGUCUAGGGACUAUCCUUGGACAUAGGGCAUUUUGGAGGAGGAAUCUCAAUUUUGGCUGUGGAGGCCUGGACAGGAAGAAGAAUGCUUUUCAUUGGGAAGGAAAGCACAGAGCCCCAGUGUUUCAGAGGUAGAUGAGUGCCAGCCCUAAGGAAGCCAAGGCCAGCCAAACUUGUCAGUCCUGGCAGCUUUUGUCUAGGAGCUAUACUUGGAUAUAGGGAAUUCUGGAGGCAGAUGCCCAAUUUUGGCUAUGGGUGCCUGGUCAAGAUGGAUGGUUUUUUCCCAUGAAAAAGAAAAGCACAUGGUGCCAGUGUUUCAAAGGCAGAUGAAAGGUGCCCUCCGGUUAGCCAAGGCAGCCAGAUCUGUCUGUCCUGGCAGAUUUCAUCUGGGAACAAUCUUUGCAUGUAAAGAAAUUCAAAGGAGGAAUCCCAGUUUUGGCAAUGGGCCCCUGGAGGACAAGGACAGUUCUCUCCAGUAGGAAGGAAAGCCUGGAGCCCCAGUGCGAGUCCCGAGAAGUAGCCCUCGACAUGCCAAGGUCAGCUGGACCUGUCAGGUGGUCCCCAGGAGGCCCAGCCAGCCAGACCUAUUCCCUGUUCCCUUGGUUUCAUGGGACCCCACAGUGUCACAAUGGUCUCUUUGGUUCCAUGAGGCCCUGGAGCGUCACAAUGUUCCCCUUGCUUCUGCAGUGUCACAAUGGCCCCGUCCUCCCAUGAGGCCUUGCAAUGGUUCCACAAAGCCCUGAUGUGUCACCAUGGCCUCGCGGCUCCAUGCACCCUCGCUGUGUCUCAAGGGCUCCUCCGUGACACUCUGGGCUCCACAAGGUCACCAUGGACCCUUGGUUCCUUGGAGCCCUUGAGUUCCACAAUGGUCUCCUUGAUUCCAUGAGGCACCAGAGUGUCACAAGGGCCCCUUGGUUCCACGAGGUUCCAUAGUGUCCCCAUGGUUGCUGUCAGAGGCUGGAUGAGAUCGAUGUCCCGAGACACCUUGGGAUGCUCGGAAUGCCCUUGUGGGGCCAGGCCCGGGUCAGGCCUUGGUUUGUGGUGGGACAGAGCCCCGCCCCCAGCCCUGACAGAGCUGUCAAUCACACAGCAUGGGCUGUGCUAACCAGCUCUGAUUGUCCCAGCUGCCAAUCAAUCACACACUAAAAUAUGGUACCUUCCCUGACUGACUGGACAAGCCACUGGCAGUCCCAC